UACAGAGGGUGCGAGCGUUAAUCGGAAUUACUGGGCGUAAAGCGUGCGUAGACGGCUAUCUAAGUCGGGUGUGAAAGCCCCGGGCUCAACCUGGGAAUUGCAUUCGAGACUGAAUAGCUAGGGUGCGGUAGAGGGAAGCGGAAUUUCCGGUGUAGCGGUGAAAUGCGUAGAUAUCGGAAGGAACAUCAGUGGCGAAAGCGGCUUCCUGGACCAGCACCGACGUUCAGGCACGAAAGGCGUGGGGAGCAAACAGG
rnacentral:rRNA from 1 species